CAUACCUAUUCGAAGGGAUAGGGUCGGUUUGGCCGGAUUUCACACAGGUGUUGCAUGGCUGUCGUCAGCUCGUGUCGUGAGAUGUUGGGUUAAGUCCCGCAACGAGCGCAACCCUCAUCCUUAGUUACCAUCAGGUUAUGCUGGGGACUUUAGGGAAACUGCCAGUGAUAAACUGGAGGAAGGUGGGGAUGAUGUCAAGUCAUCAUGGCCCUUAUGGAGUGGGCUACACACGUGCUACAAUGGUGAUUACAAUGGGCUGCAAGGUCGCAAGGCUGAGCUAAUCCUAAAAAAUCAUCUCAGUUCGGAUUGUUCUCUGCAACUCGAGAGCAUGAAGUUGGAAUCGCUAGUAAUCGUGGAUCAGCAUGCCACGGUGAAUACGUUCUCGGGUCUUGUACACACUGCCCGUCACGCCAUGGGAAUUGGUUUCACUCGAAGCU
rnacentral:rRNA from 1 species